AGCUUUGCGCAGUGGCGAUAUCGUAACCAAUGAGGUACAUCCGAGCUGCGAUUAUUGCUAGUUGAAAGAAAAACCUGGGGGUCGGUUUAGAACCACCUUUGUGAAAAUAGGUUCAAAACCAUCCCGACUUUUUCCAAAUAA